rnacentral:rRNA from 1 species
AGAGUUUUUGAUCUGGCUCAGAUUGAACGCUGGCGGCAUGCUUUACACAUGCAAGUCGAACGGCAGCGAGGAGAAGCUUGCUUCUCUGUCGGCGAGUGGCGAACGGGUGAGUAUAGCAUCGGAACGUGCCAAGUAGUGGGGGAUAACCAAACGAAAGUUUGGCUAAUACCGCGUAAGCUCCAAGGAGGAAAGUAGGGGACCUAAAUAAGGCCUUACGCUAUUUGAUCGGCCGAUGUCGGAUUAGCUAGUUGGUGGGGUAAUGGCUCACCAAGGCAAUGAUCCGUAGCGGGUCUGAGAGGACGAUCCGCCACACUGGGACUGAGACACGGCCCAGACUCCUACGGGAGGCAGCAGUGGGGAAUUUUGGACAAUGGGGGAAACCCUGAUCCAGCCAUGCCGCGUGUAUGAAGAAGGCCUUAGGGUUGUAAAGUACUUUUGUUAGGGAAGAAAAGCUAGUUUUUAAUAAAAAUUAGUGAUGACGGUACCUAAAGAAUAAGCACCGGCUA